rnacentral:rRNA from 1 species
GGUUAAGCGACUAAGCGUACACGGUGGAUGCCCUGGCAGUCAGAGGCGAUGAAGGACGUGCUAAUCUGCGAAAAGCGUCGGUAAGGUGAUAUGAACCGUUACAGCCGGCGAUGUCCGAAUGGGGAAACCCAGUGCAAUUCGUUGCACUAUCGUUAACUGAAUACAUAGGUUAACGAGGCGAACCGGGGGAACUGAAACAUCUAAGUACCCCGAGGAAAAGAAAUCAACCGAGAUUCCCCCAGUAGCGGCGAGCGAACGGGGAGCAGCCCAGAGUCUGAAUCAGCUUGUGUGUUAGUGGAACGGUCUGGAAAGUCCGACGGUACAGGGUGAUAGUCCCGUACACCAAAAUGCACAGGCUGUGAACUCGAAGAGUAGGGCGGGACACGUGGUAUCCUGUCUGAAUAUGGGGGGACCAUCCUCCAAGGCUAAAUACUCCUGACUGACCGAUAGUGAACCAGUACCGUGAGGGAAAGGCGAAAAGAACCCCGGCGAGGGGAGUGAAAAAGAACCUGAAACCGUGUACGUACAAGCAGUGGGAGCACCUUCGGGUGUGACUGCGUACCUUUUGUAUAAUGGGUCAGCGACUUAUAUUCUGUAGCAAGGUUAACCGUAUAGGGGAGCCGCAGGGAAACCGAGUCUUAACUGGGCGUUAAGUUGCAGGGUAUAGACCCGAAACCCGGUGAUCUAGCCAUGGGCAGGUUGAAGGUUGGGUAACACUAACUGGAGGACCGAACCGACUAAUGUUGAAAAAUUAGCGGAUGACUUGUGGCUGGGGGUGAAAGGCCAAUCAAACCGGGAGAUAGCUGGUUCUCCCCGAAAGCUAUUUAGGUAGCGCCUCGUGAAUUCAUCUUCGGGGGUAGAGCACUGUUUCGGCUAGGGGGUCAUCCCGACUUACCAACCCGAUGCAAACUACGAAUACCGAAGAAUGUUAUCACGGGAGACACACGGCGGGUGCUAACGUCCGUCGUGAAGAGGGAAACAACCCAGACCGCCAGCUAAGGUCCCAAAGUCAUGGUUAAGUGGGAAACGAUGUGGGAAGGCACAGACAGCCAGGAUGUUGGCUUAGAAGCAGCCAUCAUUUAAAGAAAGCGUAAUAGCUCACUGGUCGAGUCGGCCUGCGCGGAAGAUGUAACGGGGCUAAACCAUGCACCGAAGCUGCGGCAGCGACACUAUGUGUUGUUGGGUAGGGGAGCGUUCUGUAAGCCUGCGAAGGUGACCUGUGAGGGUUGCUGGAGGUAUCAGAAGUGCGAAUGCUGACAUAAGUAACGAUAAAGCGGGUGAAAAGCCCGCUCGCCGGAAGACCAAGGGUUCCUGUCCAACGUUAAUCGGGGCAGGGUGAGUCGACCCCUAAGGCGAGGCCGAAAGGCGUAGUCGAUGGGAAACAGGUUAAUAUUCCUGUACUUGGUGUUACUGCGAAGGGGGGACGGAGAAGGCUAUGUUAGCCGGGCGACGGUUGUCCCGGUUUAAGCAUGUAGGCUGGUUGUCCAGGCAAAUCCGGAUAAUCAAGGCUGAGGUGUGAUGACGAGGCACUACGGUGCUGAAGUAACAAAUGCCCUGCUUCCAGGAAAAGCCUCUAAGCAUCAGGUAACAUUAAAUCGUACCCCAAACCGACACAGGUGGUCAGGUAGAGAAUACCAAGGCGCUUGAGAGAACUCGGGUGAAGGAACUAGGCAAAAUGGUGCCGUAACUUCGGGAGAAGGCACGCUGGUGUGUAGGUGAAGUCCCUGCGGAUGGAGCUGAGACCAGUCGAAGAUACCAGCUGGCUGCAACUGUUUAUUAAAAACACAGCACUGUGCAAACACGAAAGUGGACGUAUACGGUGUGACGCCUGCCCGGUGCCGGAAGGUUAAUUGAUGGGGUUAUCCGUAAGGAGAAGCUCUUGAUCGAAGCCCCGGUAAACGGCGGCCGUAACUAUAACGGUCCUAAGGUAGCGAAAUUCCUUGUCGGGUAAGUUCCGACCUGCACGAAUGGCGUAAUGAUGGCCAGGCUGUCUCCACCCGAGACUCAGUGAAAUUGAACUCGCUGUGAAGAUGCAGUGUACCCGCGGCAAGACGGAAAGACCCCGUGAACCUUUACUAUAGCUUGACACUGAACAUUGAGCCUUGAUGUGUAGGAUAGGUGGGAGGCUUUGAAGCGUGGACGCCAGUCUGCGUGGAGCCAACCUUGAAAUACCACCCUUUAAUGUUUGAUGUUCUAACGUUGGCCCCUUACCGGGGUUGCGGACAGUGUCUGGUGGGUAGUUUGACUGGGGCGGUCUCCUCCCAAAGCGUAACGGAGGAGCACGAAGGUUAGCUAAUCCUGGUCGGACAUCAGGAGGUUAGUGCAAUGGCAUAAGCUAGCUUGACUGCGAGCGUGACGGCGCGAGCAGGUGCGAAAGCAGGUCAUAGUGAUCCGGUGGUUCUGAAUGGAAGGGCCAUCGCUCAACGGAUAAAAGGUACUCCGGGGAUAACAGGCUGAUACCGCCCAAGAGUUCAUAUCGACGGCGGUGUUUGGCACCUCGAUGUCGGCUCAUCACAUCCUGGGGCUGAAGUAGGUCCCAAGGGUAUGGCUGUUCGCCAUUUAAAGUGGUACGCGAGCUGGGUUUAGAACGUCGUGAGACAGUUCGGUCCCUAUCUGCCGUGGGCGCUGGAGAAUUGAGGGGGGCUGCUCCUAGUACGAGAGGACCGGAGUGGACGCAUCACUGGUGUUCGGGUUGUCAUGCCAAUGGCACUGCCCGGUAGCUAAAUGCGGAAGAGAUAAGUGCUGAAAGCAUCUAAGCACGAAACUUGCCCCGAGAUGAGUUCUCCCUGAGACUUUAAGUCUCCUGAAGGAACGUU